AUGCUGCAUCUCUCUCGCACGAGAGUGAGGGUUCCCCGGCCACUGCGCCCCAUCCCUCCGCUCCAGGCAACCCUCGGUCGCCGGCUCGCUGGAGCACGACGGCAGCCAAUGGAUGCCCUGGUUGUGUGCGACGGGUGCAGUUCUCACGCGCAAGCUAGGGUUGGAGCCGCUGGCUCUUCAUCCUGCCCGCCGGUGGCGAGUCUUCCCGUCCCGACUGCCGCCUCCCCAUUAUCACAGGUACCUCCACCCCUUCCUCUUUCCCCCUCUUCUCUCCUCUCCCUUCUCCCUCCUCCAUCUAUGUUCCCUUCCCCCUCCCACCACAGUUAUCUGUUCAUGUUGUUGGCACCUGAAGAAGUUGGUGGCAUGCAAAUUGAUAUAUGGGAUUUGGGAGUAAAUAGCUUCAUCAUCGUUAAGGCUAAGCCAAUAGUUGGAUCUGGCCCAUUUGAUAAUGCUGCUGUAGAAACAGAUCUCCCUACACAUCUAGCGUACAGAUAUUCUAAAAUUAAGGGAGUCACAAUUCUUGACUGGAUCAUAUGGGAGGGGCUCAUGUGGAAUUAUUGUUUUUCUUCAGCUCAUGGGAUGCCCAGAUUGUGGGCAAGAUUAAGGCCUACCAGCCCCUUUGUACCAUGCUAUAUUGCUGUUGAGGUUUACUAUUCAUUUGAGCUAAUGAUAUAUGAUCAUGGAAUUAAAGAGGUGGAACACACCGGCCAUAAAAGUAGGCGGAGGCAAUGUUGCCACCUAUUUGGUGCCUCGUCGGGCCUUCUCGGUCGCGCUUGGUGUCCUCUAGACCGCAUUCACAUAGUGAACAUGAAGCAGAUCCUCGGCAGGAUCAUAUGCAAUAGGGGGGGCGCAAAGGCGCGGACGGCUCCGGGCCGGGGAGCCGUGGCCAGGGAGGGAGUGGAGCUGAGCGGCGACGCCGAUGAGCGCAGCGGCGGGCGGAUGCACAAGUGGGAGCGGCAGCGGGGAGUGUGGGCGCGAGCGCACGCUGUCGGCCGCGGUCGGGUGCGCAGAGAACGGGCAGGGGGGCGCGGCAGCAGGAUUGGGCGCGGCCCUGAGCGGCACGUAUGGGAGGAGGCGAGCGCAGCGCGGCAGCGACGGCGACGGCGAUUACUUUGUGAGCUAGAUGAGCUAAUGACAGUUCGACUUCUAAUGCUCUUCUGGAGAAUGUGGUAUGUUAGAAACGAGAUCAUGCACUCAAAGCCUGCCCCUCCCGUGGAUGUUUCUGUUAGAUUUUUGGCAAGCUAUCUAUCCUCCUUGCAUUCUAUUGCAACCUGCCCAAAUGAUGAUCAUGUUAAAGGUAAAGGCCCGGUUCAGUUGUGCUUCCCGCUUACUGCUCGCACAUGUGAUAAUGCCCCCAUUCAUAGUACUCCAUGGUCAUGCCCUUCUGCUGGGUGUGUUAAGCUAAACACAGAUGGAUCUAUUUUGGAUGGGAUUGAUGGUAUUGGUAUGCUUCUUCGAGACCACACUGGCGGCAUAGUUUUCAGUUCAUGUCGACAUUUGUUUUCAUGCAGUGAUGUGUUGGAAGCUGAGAUACUAGCUAUCCGGGAGGGACUCAUGCUAUCUCUACAGUGGAGCAAUCUGCCAAUUGACAUUGAAAGUGAUAGCUUGGAGGCAGAUUGGAGCCUGGAAGACCGACCCGAAGAAGAAGCGUCACCAUUCGUCCGAGCAUCACCCCUGCGAGGACUGAAACCCCUAACUGAUCUAUUAGCCGGAGCCGAGGGACCAAGAUUCCCCUCCCCGCCACCGACCAUCGGAGGGGAGGCGAAUCCACGGGCUCGUCGACAGAUAUCGAGGGAGGAAGGCUUUGCCCUAGCCACCUUUUGA
rnacentral:rRNA from 1 species